UACGUAGGCAGCAAGCGUUGUUCGGAGUUACUGGGCGUAAAGGGUGUGUAGGCGGUUGGAUAAGUGUGGUGUGAAAUCUCCCGGCUUAACUGGGAGGGUGCGCUACAAACUGUCUGACUAGAGUGUGGGAUGGGUAAGUGGAAUUCCUGGUGUAGCGGUGAAAUGCGUAGAGAUCCGGAAGAACACCAGUGGCGAAGGCGGCCCGCUGGGCAGUGGCUGACGCUGAGGCGCGACAGCGUGGGGAGCAAACAGG
rnacentral:rRNA from 1 species